UUGUUAGACCCGAAAUUCCUUUAGUUUUUCCCCCAAAUUAGAUUUCCCCAAUUUCUUUUCCCCAAUUUCCCAACUUCUGAUCAAAAUCCCUAAACUAUUCUUCCCCAAUUUCUUUUCCUCAAUUUCCCAACUUCCCAAAUCCCUUUCUGAUCGAAAUCCCCAAUUUCCCACAUCCCUUUAUUUCUUCCCCAAUCCCUCCAAAUUAUUAAAAUCAGUUAACGUUUAGUUUGAGCCUAAUUUUUGGCUGGAAAUUCUUCGCCUGUUUCUCUCCACCUCGCUUCAAAAGGACUUUUUCUUAUUUCAUACUUAAGAAAUUAAGAAAUGGAGCAUGUUUGUUUGGAAAAUUGGGAGUAUUCACUCACAAUAAUCCCCAAUAACAGGUUGGAAAACGAAUGGAAAAGGAAGAAGCAAAUGAGAAUGAAAAGAAGAAUAUUUAUAAUACCAUUAGUUCACUCUUUUUGUAAUUAGUUAUUCCAUGAAAUUGACAUUCUUUUUAAUCCCUUUUGUUCCUUCUUUCAUUUGAACUAGUUGUAGAACCUGUGAUCUGCAACUGAUUUUAUUAUCUGAUUAAUGUUGGAACUUUUUACUGACCCCAGGGUCUUCUUUAAUCAUCUGAAUAGAGAUGUCUGUCUGUAUGCAUGCUCAGAUUUGUGGAAA